rnacentral:tRNA from 1 species
AGGAGUGUAGCUCAGCUGGUAGAGCGGCGGUCUCCAAAACCGUAGGUCGCGGGUUCGAACCCUGCCACUCCUGCCA